GGAUUAGGCAUGCAAGUCGAACGAGAAAGUUCCUUUCGGGAACGAGUACAGUGGCGAAAGGGUGAGUAAUGCAUAGGCAACUUGCCCCGGAGAUGGGGAUAACCUCGGGAAACUGGGGCUAAUACCCAAUAUGACUACGAUUCGCAUGGAUUGUAGUUAAAGAUAGCUCUGCUUUCACUCCGGGAGGGGCCUAUGUCCUAUUAGCUUGUUGGUGAGGUAACGGCUCACCAAGGCGACGAUGGGUAGCCGACCUGAGAGGGUGACCGGCCACACUGGGACUGAGACACUGCCCAGACUCCUACGGGAGGCUGCAGUCGAGAAUCUUCCGCAAUGCGCGAAAGCGUGACGGAGCGACGCCGCGUGAGGGAUGAAGGCCUUCGGGUUGUAAACCUCUGUCACCUGGGAAGAAAAUCAAGCGGUUAAUAGCUGUCUUGGUUGACGUUACCAGGAGAGGAAGCACCGGCUAAAUUCGUGCCAGCAGCCGCGGUAAUACGAAUGGUGCAAACGUUGUUCGGAAUCACUGGGCUUAAAGAGCACGUAGGCGGUUGAGAAAGUCCGAUGUGAAAUCCCCCGGCUUAACCGGGGAACUGCAUCGGAAACUUCUCGGCUAGAGUGUAGGAGGGGAGAGUGGAAUUCCUGGUGGAGCGGUGAAAUGCGUAGAUAUCAGGAGGAACGCCGGAGGCGAAAGCGACUCUCUGGCCUGCUACUGACGCUGAGGUGCGAAAGCUAGGGGAGCGAACGGGAUUAGAUACCCCGGUAGUCCUAGCCCUAAACGAUGGGCACUAAGUAGAGGGGUUUU
rnacentral:rRNA from 1 species